rnacentral:lncRNA from 1 species
CUGCCUUAUAUUUUUUUUAAGUUGUCUGCAUUUGCAUCAAAAUUGCCAAAGCAAUGAGGAAAUGAUUUCCAAGUGAAUAGUCUAUGUUCUAUAAGUUUGAAUUCAAUGGCAAGCUAGAAAUACUGUGUUAAGGACUAAAGGUUUCCAUUCCUGCUGAGAUUCUCACCCCCACAGUGACGGUAUGAGGAGGGGCUCCUCGGGGAGUCAGUGAGGUCAUAAGGACAGGGCUCUCAUGAUGGGAUGAAGAAGACAAUGAAGACUUGCUCGUCUGCUCUCCGAAUGUGGGACACACAAAGAAGCUGGUGUCCACAACCCAGGAAGCAGGCGGCACAGAUACCAGCAUCCUGGCUUCAACAUUCCUUCCACAUGACACAAGAGUCCUGGGGCUGCUCCAGCUGCGAUUUCUGUUUUCCGAGUCUGUGGGGAAAAUAUUUGGAUGCACCUGCCCUACCAGAAGGAUGAUAAACUUUCCAAGUCUGCCACAAAUUGGGAGGAAAUGUGAUUGAAGUUGUCACGACGAACCACUCUAAUCAAGUAAUAAUCACUCUAAAUCAUUUCCAGGAAAAUCUGCAAAGUGGUUUGGAUUUAAGUGCCAUGGCUCAAUCUGGGCUCCUUAUGAAGAAGGGCAAAGUCUCCAUUCCAACCAGUCUCAGGGACAGGGACAAUGUUAGAGGCGGCCCACCCCUGCUUCUACUCCCUGAUGCAAUAUCUGGCCAGUGAAUUUCAACAUCAUAAUAGAUGCUGGGAUCAGAUCCACAAACCCUAGACAAUGAAAGAAUGUUUUAAAUGUAAAGUUUUAUUCAUGCAUCUGAUGACAAUUAUUUUAAUGGUUCACACAAAACAAAAUAUAUUUCUUAUCAAAUCUCUGUCCUUCUCCAGAAUAUCUCUCAUUAGAAUUUAUGACUGUCUAGAGAUAAUGGCAUACUUAUUUUUCAGUUCUUGAUUUCCAUACAAAAGGGCUAUUUUUUUUUCCUUCCUUUGUCCACCCCUAAGCACGUUGCCUACCUUGGGUGUUAAAAAAUCACCUUUCUUAAUACUGGAAAAUAGGGAUUAAAUGACUAACUUGUAGGUGGCCACCCAAAACACACAGCCAAGCUUGCCAAAGGAAACAAUUCACAGCUGAGCACCAUACUCUGAACCACACUGAUGAACUUGAAAGAUAGGUUUUCUUUAAAACCAAAUCCCAGUACUGAUUUUGUUAUGAAACCAAUUGAAAAGCGCAGGACCACCGUUAACUUCGUGAUAUUACGGUUUGAGGUUAGUAUCUGUACAGCUUGACAUGCAAGCUAAACUAUUCAAACUUCUAGGAGCUUUUCUUUUGCUAGCCUCUGAUGAAAGGGGGGCGGGGAAGAGAAUCGAGUGUUUUUAGCUCCACCAUGAAGAUCUGAAAAAUGGACAUCCUUUCAGAAACGACCUUGAGACACUCUACCGAUUAAUUCACUCCGUUUGUUUUAGCAUUCCU